UACGGAGGGUGCAAGCGUUAUCCGGAUUUACUGGGUUAAAGGUGUGUAGGCGGGCUAUUAAGUCAGUGGUGAAAUCUCCGGCUCAACCCGGAAACUGCCAUUGAUACUAUUAGUCUUGAAUUUGUUGAGGUAGGCGGAAUAAGUCAUGUAGCGGUGAAAAUGCAUAGAUAUGACUUAGAACACCAAUUGCGAAGGCAGCUUACUAAGCAAAUAUUGACGCUGAGGCACGAAAGCGUGGGGAUCAAACAGG
rnacentral:rRNA from 1 species